rnacentral:lncRNA from 1 species
CUCCACCUUUGUGCAUACUGUCUGAAGCGUUUAUUUGACUUUUUCUCCAUAUUCUGGAGAGUGAUUCUGUCGGAGGUCAUGUCCGUCACGUGGUUGUAUUGUUUCAUAAAGGCCUGAGCCAGGUCCUUCCAUGAGUUAAUUUUAGAGCGGCUUAAUUGGUUAUACCAUUUAGACACUGCCCCGACCAGACUAUCUUGAAAGUAAUGGAUCAAUAGCUGGUCGUUGUUAACAUAUCCCGUCAUUCGCCUGCAGAACAUAGUGAUGUGGGCUUCAGGGCAGCUUGUUCUAUUGUAUUUCUCGAACUCGGGCAUUUUGAAUUUGGGGGGAAGGACUAAAUCUGGGACCAAAUUCAAGUCCUUGGCAUCAAUCCCUUGAUGAUGAUCCGCGCUCUCCAUGACUUUGAAUUUCUCCUUAAGCCAUCUACAUCGUUCUUCCAAUAGUUUUUACGAAUCUGCACUCGCCUUUUCUUCUUCAGCAACUUCAUCCAAAUCGGGAACGGGCGGAUAGUUUGGGUUGUUGACAAAGUUAGAGCCUGAGCCGGCUUGGAAGUUAUUGCUGGGGUAUGAUUGUGACAGAUGGUUUUUGUAGGUUAAUCUCGGGAUUCAUCAGUAUAUACAUCGGAGUAAAGCCAAGGGGUAUUGGAGAUCCUCAUUAAUUUCUUCAACUUUGUCCAUGGGGCUCUUUCCCUUAUACAUUCCUCCCAACAGCAAUUUGGACAACUGGGACAUCAUUUCUCUCUGGGACUCCAUCAUUUGUUCAUUCAUCUCUAGCUGAAUCUUGGCUAGUUGCUAUUGCAUCUGAGGCUACAUUUGUUCUUGCAUGUCCUUUUGCAUUUGCUCUAAUUUCUCAAGUCUCUUAUCUAUUGAUUUUUUUUGUACCGUAGGGGUGCGUGGUUGGUUGGUUUUCGUUAGUUUCCAGGUUACUGAAAUAAUUUUUAAUUAAUUAAUUAGAAAACUCUUAUGGCCAUUAAUGCAUAAUGAUAUGAUGUAAUGAAAAUGCAUGAAUGCAAAUGAGGCAUCAAUUUUGAUUCAAUUGCCCUUAGAAAAUUUCACUUGAAAAUAAAAUCUUUUUACAUAAAGUUGAGUUACAAAUAAAAUUUCGCUCUAAUACUCAAAGUCCUAAUUUUUCUAAACAACGGGCUAGCUCUUGUCUACGAUCCAAUUCCAACUCAUACUUCACGCUCAGUGUGUUCGCCUGAACCACUAAAGUUUGCAAGUAGUCUGCUACCUCCCGAAUCUGGGCUAUGGCUUCCCUCAUAAGGUAAUCUCUAUUUCUGACUUGGUCUUGCGCAUGGUGAAGCUGUUCUUUCCAACGAUCUUUGUUUGCCUCGAAAAACUGGAUCCGCAUCUCACAGUUUUGCAGUGACGCCUCUAACUCUUCUAUUUUUCCUUUCAUUUCUUCUAUCUUGCUCAAGCUUGCUCUCAAUUCCAUUGCAGUGUUGCGGUUUCGGUACUGAUGCAGAGACUUCUCAAGUUCUGCCACUCUAGCCCUUAAUUCACCUCGCUCAUUUCUGCUCUUCGACAGACUAUUCUCCAAAUCUUCGUUUCGUGUCUGAGCUUCUCGGAAUUUUCUUUCCCACCAGUCGGUAUUGGCUUUUUCUUCUUGAAUUUCAUGGCGCCAUUGUUCGGAAGUCUUACCUAAACCUGCAGUCCUCAUAGAUAGGCGUAGCUUCUUGUAGUCCGUCUUCAAGUUGUCUAGAUCUUCUUCGGCCUUAGUUUUUCCUUUUCUCCACUUCUUAGCCUCUGACCUCUGAACAUCAGCAUCUAACCUUAAGUGCAUCUUCUCUUCCUCCAAUUGUUCGAUCUUCUUCCCAAGCUCCAAAAUCUUCUUCUCGAAGUCUUGUUUUAUAAUUUCCAAUUCUGAUAGGGCGACUCGUAAUUGUUCUUCGAUAGGUCGAGCAUUCUCCAAGCUUGGCCUAAGAAUAUUAUCAUUAACCCUCUUCUUAAACCACUCGUUAUACUCAGGCGUUACCAUGGAACCGAUGGCUAACCUCUUCAUCCAACAAGUUUACUUUCAAGCAUUCGAUAACUCCCGAACUCUCUUCUUAUAGUGAGCACUUUUAAACGAGAAAUCACUCUGAGCAAAUCCAUAGGUCGCGGGUACAAACUACCUCAACUUAUAUUGCCUCAAGGCUAGCAAUGGAGUAUACCCUGUAGCUCCCCAAAUCCCUAACAAUGGCACCCAAUCGAAGUUACCACAUCGGUACAUGAUCUCGUCAGGAACCAUCCAAUAAGCUCUCCACUCGAUAUCCCCCUCCUUGAGGUUCUGAAGAAUAUCCAUCCACUUCUCUUUCGAGAUAUCCUCUCUCCUUUGUAUAGCUACCUCUUCUUUUAACGAAGAAUAACCCUCAGAAAAGACCCGAUAGGGAACCUUGUCUACCUUCCAAAAGUGCUCGCGAAACCAUGCCAUCAAUAAUUGUGCACAUCCAAUGAACCGUCCUUCACCCAUCCUCUGACAUGAGCUCAAAGAUCUGAAUGUUUCUGCCAAUAUUGCCAGUACCGGUGUGAUUCCCUUCUCAAGGCGAUCGAAUAAAUCAAUGACUGCUUUGUCCACGUGCCUCAAAGCCUUGGGAAAAAUUACCAACCCGUAGAGGCUUAAGGCAAAGAGGUCGACCCUCUUUCUUUCGUCUGGAUGCGUCAAGAUCAAAUCUCACAAAUUCUCCCAAGGGAUACAUUUGCUAUCUCCUUUUCGCUAAAUCCGUGCGGUGACCCAAGGCUCCCUUAUCCCAGAAAUGCUCAUCCGAAAGUCUGACUACUAAAAACCCGGGCAUAAGUCUUCCGGACCUGAAUUUUUGGACACCUGAGCAAAGUAGUGUAUUCCUCCAUGGUAGGUACCAAAUCCACUUCUCCAAAAGUGAAACACUUGUACGCAGAAUUCCAAAACUGCACCAAGGCUCAGAACAAAUGCUUAUCCACUCUAAUGUCUAGUAGGUAGGAUAUGUCACCAUAGCUUUGGUAAAACAACUACUUGAUCCCUUCAUCCCAACUAGCCCAAAUGCCUCUCAACUCUUGCAGCUCAUUCUGUACUACGUUGACGCAAGUGAAAUCCUACAGCUCCGAUACAUACCCUUCUGCCAAGCUAUCCCCUCUCUCUAAUUGUAGCCUUUCCGAACAUGCACGAAUGGCCGCAUUAUCCUCGAUUUUACUAAGAAAUUCAUUCUCCAUGUCAAACUUUCUAACUUAGUAAUUGAAUACGGAUUAACACCUCCUUUAGUAUGCAAUGUCAUGCAAAAAAAAUCAAAACAAAACACAGGUUAGUAUCACAUGAUAAUGAUAAAAUGCAAGCACAUAAACGAUAAUCGCAACGCAUAUACGGGUAAGUACUAAGGCUCGACGCGGCUCCACCCAAGGAUAGCUCUUAAGGUUCACUAUAUGUGGUUUAGUUCUAGGGAUAAGGUACCUGAACCAGCAGAUUCAUCAAUCCUCACCCAUUAUAGGCUCAUAUAGAUCGAGUUCGGUUCGGGGGGAUACAUUUCCCUAUGACCAUGCGGAGAUGAAAAUCUCACAAAAUCAUAGGUACGGAUGUACCCCGGAAGUAAUCCACUAGCCCAUGCGGAGGUGGAAACCUCACGAAAGCGUAGUUUCUUACUCCCACUUAGAAGGUACGACCACAGCGGUCGUGCAAUGAAAUGCAGCAUUAUUCUACACGAUCCAAACAUAAUAACCAUACAAACAAAUGCAUUUGUGAUUUUAAAAACAAGUUUUCGAUUUUUGAUAGAAGGACAGUAAAUAAUCAAUUUUUAUGGCUCGACUCUCAAAAAGGUCCCCAGCGGAGUCGCCAAGCUGUCGAAACCGUCCUUUCGGUUUAAAAAUUUUAGGUUUAAUAGAAAAAACGAGGAAUCGACUGUUUGAAAAUAAAACAUAGGGUCGCCACCGAUCCUUUUGUUUAGGUGUGAUCGGAUCACCUAAGAAUUUGAUUAUUUUAAUAAAACAUUUUUAGUUUACUAAAACAACGAUUCUGGUCUACGAAAAUAUGAAAAAAAGGGCUCGGGAGUCGGUUACGUAUGAGGAAGGAUUAACACCCUCAUUACGCCCAAAAUUGGUACCAAAUCGAUUAAAUACCGUCCUUAUGUCUAAAAUUAAAAAUGUUUUUGAAAUGCGGUUCUUGUUAAUAACAUUUGAAUAACCCGAGUUGGUUGCAAAAAAUCUUCUUGUUUCGACGUCCGAAAGUUUAUAAUUUGAAAUUAACAAAAGGAUGCCCAACUAUUUGGUCCAACAAAAAACCGAAACCCAGCACAGUAGGGCACGAUUCCUCAAAUUUCCGAACAUCGAACAUUGCCUCACCUUAGAAAAUACGGGUGAAAUUCUGAAGGGAUCUUCGAUUGUUUUGAGCGAAUGAAAAAGCGCAACCCAACACGAUAGGGCUCGAUUCUCAAAUCGCCAAACAUCGAACAUCGCCUUCGUUUUGAAAGGUUUUUAAUAAACAUGAAUGAAAACCUAAAGGAAUAUUCGAUUGUUUUGAACAAACGAGAAAACACAACCCAGCACGAUAGGGCAUGAUUCCCGAAUUGUCAAACACCUAGUACCUUCGUUUUAAAGGAUUUCUAGAAGACCUGAGUGAAAUUUUGAAGGGAUAUUUGAUUAUUUUAAACAAACGAGAAAUUGCAACCCAACACGUUAGGGCACGAUUCCACGAAUUGCCAAAUAUCGCAUAUCGCCUUCGUUUAAGGGAUUUUAAAAUAUAUGAGUGAAAUUUUGAAAUGAUAUUCGAUUAUUUUGAGCAACUGUAAAAUUGCAACCCAACACGUUAGGGCAAGAUUCCGCGAAUUGCCAAAUAUCAAAUCUCGUCUUCGUUUUAAAGAAUUUUUGAAUGAAUGAUUAUAAAGCUAGCUUAAGACGUAUUAAUUCGAUUUAAAAUAAGACGAAAUUAAUCAUAAAUUUGGGUUUUAUAGAACCACAUUUCAAAAAUCAAGUGAAACGAUGAUAUGGGGUAAAAGGCACAUAUGAUGGUACGAUGCUUGAUGAACAAGAUUAUUAAUCGACUAGCAGAAUAAGCAAUUAAAAUAUAAUUAAUCUAGAAAUUAUAGCCUAAUUUCAAUCAUGUAUGAAUAAUAAUUGACAUAUCAACAGGAUGAAUACCAUGCGAUGGUAACAUAUAUGCUACAAUAUAGAACAACCAACAAAAUACAUGCAAAACAAAAUAGAAUUUAAAAGUCAAAGUGGUAUAGGAUUAAUAAACUCAUGCUAUAUAAAUUGACAAGUUUGAAUGAAAACUAGGAAUAUAUAUAUAACUAUUGAAAUAGAUAUUAGAAAAUGAAAGUUGAAUUAAAUUGUAUGUAAAAUAAUUUAAACAUAAAUUCAUUUAAAAGUUAACAGAAUAUAUGAUAAUAAAAAUAUAUGAUACAAAAAAUACAUAACAAAAUAUAAUGCCCCAAAAUAGAUUUAUAAGGAAUGUACAUAUAAUUUUAUAAAAAAGAAUGAGAUUAAUGAUAAUGUACAUAUAAUUUUAAGUUGGUCUAAAAACCAUACAUCCUUAUAUCAAAACAUUUAAAUAAUAGGCUAUAUAAAACACAAAAAAACAAUGUAAUAUAAAGAAACAUUAAAAAAGAUAAUAAUUUCAUAAUUAAAAAGUUUCUAAAAUUAUUUCAUAUAUACAUAAAGAAAAUAUUCGGUAAAUCACAAAGUAAAAGGUGUUUUAAAAUAAAAAAUCUAUUAAAGUAAUAAGUGUAUUAAUAUGUAUAUAUAUACAUAUAAAUCUAAAGUAAAUACGUGUAAAUUUAUAUAAAAAUGAUAAUAUGUUUAGGUUUAGUAAUGUAUAUGAAUCAAAUACAUAUACUAAUAUAAAAGAAUAUAAAAUAACUUAAAUCUUAUAUAAAAUAUAUAUACAAAGCAUAUUUGAAUAGCAAAAAAUACGUAUUGAAGUACAAGGAUAAAGUCAAAAGCCAUUAUAUGUAUGAAAAUACAUUAACUUUAUUAUAAUAUAUACGUAAUAUGUAUAGUAAUACAAAGGAAAUGAACAUUUAAAAUGUACAAAAUGUGAUAAUAACAUUACAAAAAAAACGAAUCUACAAGAAUGAAGAAGCAAUCAUCAAGAUUAAUUAAAAUGUACAAAUAAAAUAAAAUAAAAAGGGGUAUAAAACAAUAAAAACUUAAUUAAAAUUAAACUAAAACAAAGGGAUAAUUCGAAAACAAACAAAAAUAAAAAAGGACCAAUAUUUAAUGGGCGAAAACGUCUGGGGACUAAAACUGGCAAUAUACCAGAUCCCAAAACGUCAAGUUUAAGCGCAGGUUAGAUUGUAAACGAAUAUAAAUUAUUGGGCCAAAUUUAAAAAAGGUAAAUAAAACAAAUGGGGCGCACUUGAGCACGCGUACAAAAAAGGAGGGCUUUUACCGAAAAUAACCCUUCACCGCAUAGGCACGCGGGUCCUGAGGGUUAGGAAUCGGAUCGGGUCAGGUGUACCAAUACGACACCGUUUGGAAAGCCAUUGGAUAAGGCCUAAAACGGUGCCGUUCCUGGUCCUAUAAAAAGGCCCCUUUUAGCCCACUCAGCCGAACCCUAGCCUCCAUUCUUCUCCUCAGCCAUAACCUGUGUUUUCUCCCUCCAAGAGACCAGCCCGCCUCAAGGUAUGGUGACCGACGCUCGCAGGCUUCGAAACAGGGUUUCUUUCAGCCACCGAAUUCCCUUUGAACCCCGAUUUCGACGAAGCAAAAGGGAAUCCGCAGCCUAAACUCAAGGUAAGUCCUCUUUUUCUUUUCUUUUUUUGAAUGUAAAAUGACAAAAAAAUAAGAAGGAAGAAAUAGCAAAUAGAACCGAAGAACAAAGAUCACCUUCUCAAGAAGUAGCUUUCUGAUUUUCAAGCAAUGUGUAUUGCGUAUGUAUUGUGUGUAUUCGUUUAUAUUGCCUUCGUAACCAUUACAAAGAUUAAAUCGUUGGCUUUAUAGCCGAAAAGAAAUCAAAAGAUAAAAAAUACAAACAAAUUCCUAUUGGCUGCCGUUCUCGCUGCUGUUUUUUGUUUCCUUUCGCAGGUACAGGUGCGUGGCGUGUGUACGAGGCUGUACUGGCGUCCGAGGGCUGUUGACGUGGAGGCCCGAGCGUUGUACGGCGUCUGGAGGCUGCAGGAGUUGCUGCGGCGCAAGCAGAGGAGGUGACCUAGGGUUUCUGAAGCUGUUAGGGAAAUGGGCCUAUAGGGCUUGCUCCGACUUGGGUUCUAACAUUAAUUUGGGCUUGUAAUAGGCAUCGAGUUAGUCUUUGGAUCAUAGGAUUGGUCUUUGUAAAUAGGCUAUGGGCCAUAUUAGUAAUUUUUGGACUAAUGGACCGUAAAAGGACAUUUGGGUUUUAUGUUUAUUAUUUUUGGUUUGUUUUUUGUUUUUUAUAUGGGUCGGGCAAAUUUGGCCCACUACAUAUAUUUUGUUGGUUUUUAAAUAAUAAGAUUAAAAUAUCCUUAAAUAAUAUAAUUUAUUUUAAAUACGAAAAAAAUAUUUUCAUAAA